rnacentral:piRNA from 1 species
CUUUGGGGUAGUUAGAAGUGCAGAU